UUGUAUGGUCCUACCACAUUGAACAUGCCAAAUCUUGUCUGAUCUCAGAAACUAAGCACUGUUAGGCCUGGUUAGUAGUUGGAUAGGAGACCGCCUGCAAAUACUGGAUGCAGCAGU
ensembl:rRNA 5S_rRNA 5S ribosomal RNA